ACUCAAAUGAAUUGACGGGGACCCGCACAACCAGUGGAUUAUGUGGUUUAAUUCGAGACGAACCGAAGAACCUUACCUGGGUUUGACAUGCUAGAUGCAAUCCGCCAGAGAUGGUGGACCUCUUCGAGAGUUCUAGCACAGGUGUUGCAUGGCUAUCGUCAGCUCGUGCCAUGAGGUGUUCCCUUAAGUGGGGUAACGAGCGCAACCCGCGUCGUAUGUUAAAUUGUUCAUACGAGACUGCUUGAGUCAUUCUCAAGAGGAAGGCGCGGAUGAUGUUAAGUCAGCAUGGCCUUUAUAUCCAGGGCGACACACAUAAUACAAUGAAGCCGACAAUGGGUCGCCAAACCGUAAGGUGGAGCUAAUCCCAUCAAACGGCUUCUCAGUGGGGAUUGAGGGCUGCAACCCGCCCUCAUGAACGCGGAAUUGGUAGUAAUCGCAAAUCAGCCAAGUUGCGGUGAAUACGUUCUCGGGUCUUGUACACACCGCCCGU
rnacentral:rRNA from 1 species